AGAAAUCAAGGAGCCGUCCAUUGAAGAUCCAAGGGUGGACAUUGAGUGGCCAAGGCUAUAAAUAGAAGGGUAAACCCCUCAUUUUCACUCACCACACUACAAGCAAACUCAAGAGCUUUCACUCCACACUUGCCCACACGUUUUUGCCUCCAAGCUUCCAAGCUUUCAAGUGCUCAAGUGUCCUAGCUUUCCAAAGCUUCAAAAGCUCUCAAACUUCUUCUUCUAAUCUUCUUGUUCAUCUUUACAAGUAAGAAGUGUUGUUUGCUUUAAUAUUCCACUCCUCUAAUCACCUCUUGUGUGUGUCCACUUUGGUUGAGAGGGUUGUCUCAAUAGUACCAAAG
rnacentral:lncRNA from 1 species